UGACCAACACAUUAUUGUUUUGUCGUUCUGAAGACAUGCAAAAGGCUAUACCACUCACUUACACGGCACUCCUUGACCAGCUGCCAAGUUUCUUACUGAGACAGAGUAUGGAAAAAUAACAGAAAAGCUUUUUGACAAUUUCAUGCGACGGGAGAUGGAAGUGGAAGAAAUGAGCCAUAAAGUGUUGGUCAAACACACGCUAACACAUUGGACGAAUUUUCCCAGUCAAGUUCUUCAACCUUAGCUGACAACAACUGUGAAAUCCCCUACAACACCAACAAAAACCCGAACAAUCCCAACGAAAACCCACACAAGGCAAACGUACACCAUAACGACAACAGCCAAAACUCCAAAAACGCUAACAAAAACCCUGUUUACAACGGCAAAGAAAACCCAAACAGCGUCGUCAAAAACGCUUGCAACAUCAAUGAAAAGCCGAACAACGUCAACGAAAUUUUUAACCAAACGAAGAAAAACGCUAAUGAUACAAACGAAAACACAAUUAUUACAAUCGGAUGCACUGAUGUUAAUGACAUUGCUGAGACUAUCGAGAUUAAUGGUAACAAUACUAACGAAGAACAACAGUAUUUUCAAAAGUUUUGUAGCUACGACAAACCUGAUGAAGAUGAAGAACCAGUUUCGAAGAGCCCGAAAAUUUUAACGUCCACUCAAAGUAUUUAUCAGAAGAAAGUUAAAAUAGAUAUUAAAUGUUUCUUUAUCUUCAGUCUGUAGUAUUUAUUUGUACCAAUGUACUUACUGUUGCAAUAACAAAUUUCAGUUCGUCAUACAAAAGUACAAAAAAUGUAUAGCGUCUUAUACUAACAUCGACAUUUUAGGUGUUCAGAAAAAAAACAAAUUAUUUUGUUACAGAAAUAGGAAUCACGCCACUAUUAAACGAAUCAACAGCAAACUGCAAACAUUUAAA